AAAUCAGGCAGGUUUUUUUUGGCUUUUCCCACCAUGUGACUGGGUCUGCCUUGCCCUGCCCCACCCCUGCUUGGGCAAUCGUGCCCCCCGCUGAGCUCAGCAGCCUGGCGUGAGGUGAGGUGUCUGUGUGGCUGCUGUUAGCAAAUCCACCAUUCCGGGGAUCAGCGCCUGGGAGCGGCUUCCCUGAAUGGUGAUGUGGCUGUUCCCUAACUUGCUUCUGGCCCAGUGACCUGUGGUGGCUGUAGGAGCCGCUGCAGGGUUCGGGCAGCAGUAGUGAAGGGCUUUGCUGCUCUCUGCAGUUUCCAUGUUGCCCUCCUUGUCCAUUUCCUCAGCCUAAGGAGACCCGGUGGCCUGGUGGACUUGGCUUCGUUCCUUCUUUCAGCUCAGGGGGACAUGCAUUUUUCUCCUUUGAGUCGAAUUAGCAAUGAACUUCCCCUCCCCAGAUGGACAGCGUGGCAUCGUCAGGGCCCAGCUGCAGCUUUCCGGGCCAACGGGUCUUCGUGCAUUGUCUGAUUUUGUUCUGACAAGCACACGAGGCCGUGCGGUCAUUAUUCCCACUUUACAGAUGAGGAAACACAAGGUAAGGAACUCGCCCGAGGUCACAGGGACGGCUGGAUAUAAAACAGACUCCUGCGUGUACAGAUUUAAAGAUCGGUAAGAAGAGAAUUUCAAAUCUCAGCCAAAGCGAAGGUCAAGUCACUGCUCUUGGGGACGUUCCCUUCACACCCCAGAACGUUCCAACAUGGCCAGUGAAGACAUUGUGUCCCCGUAACCCUGGGGGAGAAGAGGACGGGGCUUAAUGAAAAGUAGAAAGUUUCCUCUUUCCCACUGUUGGAGAUGCCGGCGUCCCCACAUCACCGUCGGCGCUGCAUCUGGUCCACUUCUGGGACCCAUUUGGGUCCCUGGGCCGGGGCUUCCUGUGGAUGAGCCGGGAUCACACAGCGAUGUGGGGUUGCUCAGGGCGCCCCGUUCACUCCAGAGUGACCCCUGACCCAAAGCCAGUGCUGGGUGUUUGCCGAAACUGAAACCAGGGCAGGUCUGAAUCAGACCCUGCAGAACAAUGAGGCCUUUUGUGCGAAUGAGGCGGGGGAGGGACUGGAGGAGACCAGGAGCUUCCUGACGGGGUCCGCAGCACAGGUCACAGCGAUUGAAUUCAGGAGGUGACCCUCGAAGGUCAGGUCACAGCCGAGCAGCACAGGCGCUGAGCUAAGUGUCCACAAAGGAGACGAACAAAGCGGCCGCUGUGGGAACAGAGUCAGUGUCGGUCAAGGCUGAGUCCAGGAGCUCGGGUCCGCCGGGCGGCGACGGGGGCUUUGUGCUCGGUCCCCCUACAGUCAAGAGCGUCCUCAGCAUUCCCUGGACAUGGGUUCGUCGGUUCCCUCGUGUUUUUCUAAGAGGAAGUUUGGUGCCUCUGACCCCUCACCCUGACUGCUUUGCUGCUCCAGAGUCCCCCACAUGGUCACCUGUCCCAAGUGGACGAGCUUCAGUCACUCCAGGAUGAUCGUGAUUGUUGCCAAACCCUUGUCAUGCCCAUGCUGUUUUCUGGCGUUUUCUUUUAAACUAAACCGGCUCACAUUUUUACUCAUGUUCUGCAGGAGGCUCGUGAAACCCAGAUGAAAAGCCA
rnacentral:lncRNA from 1 species